UCCGCUCUUGCACCUACCUUUUCCACUUAGCCUAUCUGCCUUCCUGAAACCUUUUCUAGUCUGACAACUAUGAAGGACUUCUCAAAUCUUGAAACCCCUGAUCCUAAUUUCGUUGGCGGUCAUCGUUCUUCCUCGUUUAAAAUCGAUCUCGUUUUCAGCGUCUGAAUAAUAGAAGAAUUGUAAUUAUAUUGGGCUCAGCCCAGGAGGCCCACGCGUUUCUCUCCUUCACUAGCCCAGCCCAAUCACGCUCUCAGCAGUCAGGCCCAGGCCCAGCGCUGCGCGCCGCCACUCGGCUCCCUCCUCCAUCCCUCGCCGGCCACCGCAGCGCGUCCAGACCCAGCGAGCACCCCGCGAGACACAAGAGCGCGGAGGAGAGGAGGGAGCUCGAGAAUAUGGGGUGGAAAGCGGCGGAGAAGCUCAUCAGGCAAUGGAAGAUCCUUCGCGGUGACAGCGUGAUGAUUAUCAUAUGCAAGGCCAAGGGGGAGACCGGGCUGAUCAAGCGAGUCAUUCGGUCGCAAAAUCGCGUCAUUGUGGAGGGCAAGAACUUGUGUUGGACUGCAAAAUACCUCCGAUUAAGCUGCACUUGAUGGUCGUCAUCUCCAAAAUAAGAGUUGUCUCCAUUCCUAGAUAUGCUCAGUAACAUUCCAGUCACUUGGCAAUCCAUGAAGCAGAAACAGAAAGUUGUAGCGCUUUCAUCUUGUGAAGCUGGGUAUACAGCAACUGCAACUUCAACUUGCCAGGGACUCUGGCUGGCUUGGGUGCUGGCUGAGAUACUGGGCACCAAACCAUGCAUUCCAAAGUUGAAAGUGGACAACAAGUCCGCAAUUUCUCUAAAAAAAAAAAUAUGUGCUACAUGAUCAGUUCUUUGCUUUGAUAAAUAAUAAGUUACACAACAAAAAACAUUGUUGCAUUGUAGCACAACUCUACGUGUUCUUGUGCCUUUUUAGGUGUUUCACGUGAGUUGAGAUUUUUCUCAAGCUGAAGAGCGAAAUAACUUCUUG